rnacentral:rRNA from 1 species
AACGAACGCUGGCGGCAUGCCUAACACAUGCAAGUCGAACGAGACCUUCGGGUCUAGUGGCGCACGGGUGCGUAACGCGUGGGAACCUGCCCUUAGGUUCGGAAUAACUCCCCGAAAGGGGUGCUAAUACCGGAUAAUGUCUUCGGACCAAAGAUUUAUCGCCUUUGGAUGGGCCCGCGUUGGAUUAGCUUGUUGGUAGGGUAAAAGCCUACCAAGGCGACGAUCCAUAGCUGGUCUGAGAGGAUGAUCAGCCACACUGGGACUGAGACACGGCCCAGACUCCUACGGGAGGCAGCAGUGGGGAAUAGUGGACAAUGGGCGAAAGCCUGAUCCAGCAAUGCCGCGUGAGUGAUGAAGGCCUUAGGGUUGUAAAGCGCUUUUACCCGGGAUGAUAAUGACAGUACCGGGAGAAUAAGCUCCGGCUAACUCCGUG